AUGUACAGAAAUUAUUACUCUGAUGCACAUUUUGGAGGAACGGCGAAGUGCGUCAAGUAUUCAAAGGUUGGAAAAUAUGAAAACUUCACUUCACAAGCCAUUGUCACUUACGCAGGCCAAGGAUCAACGACAGGCCAGCUUAAUCUCGAUUCUGCAGAGUGCUACGUAGCCAAGGACAAGUUCGGCUACAUUCCAGAUGACCCAACACUGCCGCCAAUAUCGUUCUAUCUCAUCUACACGGACUGCGUGACAUGCAGCGUUAUUAGACAUCGAUAUGCUGGGGACGGUUAUGGAUGCACUUAUUGGAGACGUACGGAUGCGCUGCAAACACCAGACGACUGCUGUGAAUUCAUCUAUGCCGAGAAUUGCGGCUUGUCGCCGAAAUACCAGAUCUACGACUCAUCUUGCGGGAAAUAGGGCACGCGUAGUAACCGGUUCCUUUAGUGAAACUAAGCAGGUUGCCAUUUUCUGCUAUCUCUGGAGAUACGUUUUCAGCUAUGAUGUAUUAACAAACACACAAGAAGAGUGGGUGGCAGAUGAACGGUGAAUUCGCGCAGAAGUUCUUACAGUUGAAUGAUACUAGUGCUUAAGGCCCAUCUGCGAACCUUGCAGCGUCA